GGUAUUUACAGUAUGUGUGUGUGUUGCAGGUGUAUUUACAGUAUGUGUGUGUGUUGCAGGUGUAUUUACAGUAUGUGUGUGUUGCAGGUGUAUUUACAGUAUGUGUGUGUGUUGCAGGUGUAUUUACAGUAUGUGUGUGUUGCAGGGGUAUUUACAGUAUGUGUGUGUGUUGCAGGGGUAUUUACAGUAUGUGUGUGUGUUGCAGGGGUAUUUACAGUAUGUGUGUGUGUU